UUAAUUGAAGCCAAAACUAGAGGCAUUUUAUUGUUAAUAAAAUUAUUGAUUAAUUAAUCCAAUUAAA
rnacentral:tRNA from 1 species